rnacentral:misc_RNA from 1 species
UGUGGGAGGGGGCUUGCCCCCGAUAUCAGUGUGUCAGUCAGCACAUCUGUAGCUGACCCUCCGCCAUCGGGGGCAAGCCCCCUCCCACA